GCGUAGGAAUCUACCUAGUGGUGGGGGAUAGCCCGGAAAAUACCGGAUUAAUACCGCAUAAGCUCUAAGGGGGAAAGUGGGGGAGUCUUUUGACCUCAUGCCACAUGAUGAGCCUGCGUAGGAUUAGCUAGUUGGUGGGGUAAAGGCCUACCAAGGCGACGAUCCUUAGCUGGUCUGAGAGGAUGAUCAGCCACACUGGGACUGAGACACGGCCCAGACUCCUACGGGAGGCAGCAGUGGGGAAUAUUGCACAAUGGGCGCAAGCCUGAUGCAGCCAUGCCGCGUGUGUGAAGAAGGCCU
rnacentral:rRNA from 1 species